rnacentral:rRNA from 1 species
UACGUAGGGUGCGAGCGUUGUCCGGAAUUAUUGGGCGUAAAGAGCUUGUAGGCGGUUCUGCGUGUCUCUGUGAAAAUCCGGGGCUCAACCCCGGACCUUGCAGUGGGUACGGGGCAGACUAGAGUGUGGUAGGGGGAGACUGGAAUUCCUGGUGUAGCGGUGAAAUGCGCAGAUAUCAGGAGGAACACCGAUGGCGAAGGCGGCUUCCUGGACCGACACUGACGUGAGGCGCGAAAGCUAGGGGGGAGCAAAACGGGGAUUAGAAAACCCCUAG